rnacentral:rRNA from 1 species
UACAGGGGAUGCAAGCGUUAUCCGGAUUUAUUGGGUUUAAAGGGUGCGUAGGCUGUGAGGUAAGUCAGCGGUGAAAUGCCCCCGCUCAACGGGGUGAAGUGCCAUUGAUACUGCCUUGCUGGAAUGCGGAUGCCGUGGGAGGAAUGUGUGGUGUAGCGGUGAAAUGCAUAGAUAUCACACAGAACACCGAUUGCGAAGGCAUCUCACGAAUCCGCGAUUGACGCUGAUGCACGAAAGCGUGGGUAUCAAACAGG